GGUUUCGUAGCUCAGUCGGCAGAGCGUGUGGCUGUUAACCACAAAGUCCCAGGUUCGAUCCCUGCCGAAACCG
rnacentral:tRNA from 1 species